rnacentral:misc_RNA from 1 species
GACGGGGGAUGCAAGUGUUACCCGGAAUUACUGGGCGUAAAGCGCGGGCAGGUGGUCUGCCAAGUCGUUUGUGAAAAUCCGGGGCUCAACCCCGUGAAAUGCGUACGAUACUGGCAGGCUGGAGAUCGGUAGAGGCUAGCGGAAUUCCUGGUGUAGCGGUGGAAUGCGUAGAUAUCAGGAAGAACACCCGUGGCGAAGGCGGCUAGCUGGGCCGAGUCUGACACUCAUCCGCGAAAGCGUGGGGAGCAAACAGG